UACGUAGGGGGCAAGCGUUGUCCGGAAUCAUUGGGCGUAAAGAGCGUGUAGGCGGUUCGGUAAGUCGGCUGUGAAAGUCCAGGGCUCAACCCUGGGAUGCCGGUCGAUACUGCGGGGCUAGAGUGCAGAAGGGGCAACUGGAAUUCUCGGUGUAGCGGUGAAAUGCGUAGAUAUCGAGAGGAACACCUGCGGCGAAGGCGGGUUGCUGGGCUGACACUGACGCUGAACUGCGAAAGCUAGGGGAGCGAACGGG
rnacentral:rRNA from 1 species